CACGUAGGGGGCGAGCGUUGUUCGGAAUUACUGGGCGUAAAGCGCACGUAGGCGGAUUUGUAAGUCAGGGGUGAAAUCCCGGGGCUCAACCUCGGAACUGCCUUUGAUACUGCAAAUCUCGAGUCCGGAAGAGGUGAGUGGAAUUCCUAGUGUAGAGGUGAAAUUCGUAGAUAUUAGGAAGAACACCAGUGGCGAAGGCGGCUCACUGGUCCGGUACUGACGCUGAGGUGCGAAAGCGUGGGGAGCAAACAGG
rnacentral:rRNA from 1 species